rnacentral:lncRNA from 1 species
AUUGUUCUGCUCUUUCCUGUGAUGCGACAUUCUUUGCAUCAGUCUUAGAGGUUUGUAUAAAUCAUUUUGCAUGUUCCGUUGCAUGUGUGAAAUGUUUCUUUUUAUGUAAAAUUCAUAAUGUAUUGUAAUCUGCCUGACUCAGUUUAUUCUGCUAGCAUUACAUCCCUCUUACAGGAGCUUUGCUUUAUAUGUAUAUAUAUCAGUUGUACUAACAUCCCAAUCUGUUGCUAUGCGCUAGGUUGACGGUCCGGCCGGAUGUUUCAUCAGUCAUCAACGCCUUGAGUAGGAUCCUUUUCUUCUCCGCAGUUGGGAAACACUUUUUUGUCAUGGUAUUGUAGUUUAGAUUCCAGAAGACUAAAUGUAGACAAGAAUUAAGGCACCGAAUGUGGAGGCUUUGGCACCCCGAAGAAGUGAAAUAGGGAAUGAUGUUCAAGAGCUGGUCUGAAGGAUAGUGUCGCAACAAGUAGGAUUCUAUGAUGCAACUUAGCUGCCGAGUCGGUAUCAGGGUCAAUGAUGCCUAACAUUGAACGGUUCAGGGCCCGUUUGCUGUGUGAACCUGUUUUUGAUACACAAUCUUGUGAGUUUCAAGUGUUUCGACAUGAGCUCUCUUCGGUUGACAUGUGUUUGACUCUUCGGUUGACACGUGCUUGAAUCGACUCUUCGGUUGACACGUGUUUGAAUAGAUAUGCGUAGGAGAGCAUGACGCAUGUUUGCUAUCUUUUCUUUUUUCUAACUUCUUUGAGAUUUUAGC